AUUGGCACCUCGAUGUCGGCUUAUCUUUACCUUACUUCGCACUAUACUUAAAGGCAGAAGUGCUCAUUCUUUAUCAAGAUACGUGAGCUGGGUUCAAAACGAUGUAAAUCAGUUUGGUCUUUAUCUUUGACGAGU
rnacentral:rRNA from 14 species